rnacentral:piRNA from 1 species
UCCAAUGCCUCGCCCUGUGAUGUGUCAUGCU